GGAUGUGAGGGUGAUCUGGCUGCGACAUCUGUCACUCCGUUGGUCUCUAGAGUUGAUUCGGCUGGUCUGGUUGGUUAGGCAAGUGUCCCCUUCCUCCCUCACCGCUCCAUGUGCGUCCCUCCUGAAGCUGCACGCUCGGUCGAAGAGGAUGACCUUCCCCGAUACAGGAGGACUGUUCUUCGAUCAAGGGUAUACGAGCAGCUGUGCUCCCCUGCUAGAACCUCCAAACAAGCUCUCAAGGUCCAUUUGUAGGAGAACAUAGGGUAGUCAAGCUUCCAAGACUCCAGACACAGCCAAAUGAGGCGCUGCACAUGGCAGUCCGCCUUUCUUU
rnacentral:snRNA from 1 species